rnacentral:rRNA from 1 species
AUGGCCUGCGAUGUCGCCGCCGACGAGCCACCCGCCAUCCCCACCGCGCUCGACAAGGCCCCCGCCGUCUGCCCCGUCCAGGAGCCCCGCGCGACCGACAACUCCCCCGCCGUCUGCACCGUCCGGGAGCUCCGCGCAGGCGACGCGCCGUCCGCCAUGGGCAGGGGCCCCGAUCUCUGCGCCGGCGACACUGAGCAUGCGGCACACGAUAGAGAGCUUUUAAGCAAAGAUACAAAUCCUGACCUUUUGGAGACAAACAACAGUAGCCAAGAACAUGAUUCAGGGGAUGACACCAUGAAUGACAAACAUGAACAAAGUAUAGUGGAUCUGACAGAAACAGACGCAUCUGACGGCAUGCUGUUUGACGGCUUGAGAAGAAUUUUAGAGGAAAGACAAGAGAGGAAGCAGGAAAGGAGUGCUUUGAAAGAGAAAAGGAACAAGAGGAGAAGGCCAGAGGAAGGAAAACCCAAACGACACAUUAACAAAGAAAGAGCAACUGCAUACAGCAGAUUUAGCAUUGGAUAUUUCGCAAAGAUUGUUGAUGUUGUGUGCAAAAGCAAUCAUAGGAUGGAGGUUGUUAGGAAUGGUGGUUUUGGAUACUUGCUUGAGCUCGAUGAUUGUUAUGUUCCAUGGCCAUUCGCACAGUGGGUCGCGGACAACAUAUCCACAAAAGAUGAAGCAAUUGUACUUGGUGGGAAAUCAAUUCCUCUCAACCCUGAAGCCGUAUCAUUAGUUCUUGGUAUACCAGCAGGCGGAACAAAGAUCACAGUGCUAGACGAGGAGUUUGGCAAAGCGGAGUUUCUAUCACUGUUUGGGCUAACAGAUCUUCCAUCCAUAAGUUUCUUCAGGAACAAGAUUAUAAAUGAAGAGCUGCCUGACGACGUUUAUCUUCGCUGCUUCUUGACUGUCGCACUAGCAACCUUCCUGUGUCCCACAUCCAACACAAAGCCAAGCACCAAAUAUUUGGGAGCACUUGUGGAUGUGUCAAAGUCAAAAGAUCUUGAUUGGUGCUCUUUUGUCCAUACAUGGAAUAUCACCUAUGUCAAGAAGUACCAAACAGACAAGCUGAAGCAGAAACGGAUAACAACCACUUUGGGAGGCUGCAUUUAUCAGCUAGCAGUUCGGUGUCUAGACUUCAACAAUUUUGGAUCAAUAACAAUUCCACCAGCACUACCCAAGGUUUGUUUUUGGAAAGGACAAACCAUUAAACAUUUCAGCGAUAUGCUAAUUGGGAAAGAUGGAUUAUAUGGAGCUCUUCAAAUAAAAGAUGAGGCAGAAACUUGCUAUGCAGAAACUGACGGUGCAUGGGCAAGCACCGCCAAGAACUCAAACAUCCAAAAAGCUCUACAAAGGGUCUUAGGCAACUCUUUUUCAGAUAAGAUCAAAGAAGAUAUAUUCCUCAAUUUCCAGGAGCGUGUAAAAGAUCAAAACCUGACCACUUGUCUGAUAGCAAAACAAGUGUUGCUGGAUACUUUGAACAUUGUCUCUUCUUCUUUUAAUGGCUCUCAACAUACAGAGAAGUUAGAGUCAUCCGACAAAGAUAAUGGGUCUGGCAGUACUAUUAGAGUUGAUUCUAAUGGGAUUGAAAUUGGCAGUGAUCGAAGAGGCAGGAAGAAGAGAAUGAAGACGAGUACACAGGAGUCAAUAACUUCAACAAGUAAGUAUGUAUUGUUGCAAGAUAAAAUAAAGCAAAGUACACCUGAAGUUGACACACAAGGAGUCAAAGCUGAAUUGCAACCAGUACCAUGGAAUGGUCCUAUAAAUGAGCCCAAACAUCAAGAUGAAAUGGAAGUAAAUUCUGAAAUUGGUAAAGGAUGUACACAUAUAGUUGGACAACCGGUGCGUGCUGAAUGCAUUGCACUGCAACAAGAAGCCCACGAGGGAGAAAGCAUGAACAAGGUUGGCCCUGCUAAACACAACCAAGACACAAAUAUGUUGGAUGGACAUAGCAACAUCCUCGAGCGCAGUGUCAAUGCUUGUCCUAUUGAAAUAGAAGCACCACAGAAAAGCACUAGCCUGAACUACAUGCUAUUAUCAGCUAGAUUGGCAAAAGCAGUGAUGAGCACGACACAAGUUAACAAUUCAAAGGAAGUAUCCACCAGAGAUGUACAGACAACAUUCACAGGGUUACAACAUAAUACUGUUAACAACAAUAAAACACAGCAUUGCAUAGACACUAGUACCAUGGAGCAACGAAAUGAGAAGCAAGCAGUGGUUUCUGAAUGUGUGGAACAUCAAAACAACAUUGACAAAGAUCAAAACACUGCGAAUAAUGUCAGCGAUUACAAGAAGCGCGUUGAACUUGAUAUAGAUAUCAACAUAGCACUAUCAAACAACGAUAAGCAACAACAUGUCAAAGAGUUACAGGACACUUUGCAUCCAUUAGAUAUUGCAAGGCAAAAGUACUUCUUCACAGAUGAUGCGACACCUAGCUGCAGAAUUCUUCCAGACCAUGAUGAUUGUGGGAAUCAAAUAAUAGAGCCAGAAUUGUGGCGCCCAUUAGAGAUGAACUCGGAAGAAUAUAAUUCUCAAAUAGAGGAAGCAAAGAAAAAAUAUCCAUGCAAUGCAAGCAAGGAUGAGCAAGAAGUGCAAGGAGAUUCCUCCAUACAGUGUGCGCAGAGACAACCCGUGUCCACAGGCAUUUGCAAGUACAGAGACUUUCUUCCACAGUUUGAAGAAAAGGAUGGCAUCAUCGACUUGACAUCGCCUGUUGCACGCAUGUCACACACUUGGGGCAGAGCAACAACAUACUACUCCCGAAUGGGCAAAUGGAACAAUGAGAACGCUGAAAGUCCUACACAAAAGCACAAGAAGAGAUAUUCAACAACAGCAAUUUUAGGGAAGAGGCUUUUUUCAGAUGAGUUUGAUGAAAAUGAUGAACAAGAAGGCACUAAACACCAACCAAUCCCUGUGUCUCCGGAUGUUCAAGUUUUGGGGGAAAGAUCAUUCAAUGGUUCAUGCUCUAGUAUGGUAAACACGGCGGACAAUUUAUACAACACGAAGCUAUCAUUAGGCACUUCAUCAAGUGGUAAAGAGAAUUUGCCUCCAAAAAGGAUAACACACCCAAGCAAGUGGCUCUCCUCACCAUAUGAUCACAACGAGAGAGGACCUCUUCAGCCACAUGAGAUAGAGCUACACAGGGGCAUAGUGGCACUAAGCAAAGUUGAACCUCACAGAAGCAAAGUGGUUGUGUUGAUUGACAAAACAAGCCUUUUCCUUGGACAACUUGGCGAUUCAUUUGGUGUGAGUGGUCACGUGGAAGCAUAUGUUUUCAAUGUUUUCUGUCGGAUGCUCUUUCGAGAGAAUCAUCCAAGGAGAUCAAAAACGCACUACUUCUUCACUACACUAGGUGAUUAUUUUCUUGAAAAUUGGAAAUCUGAAGAAGGAAGGAGGGAAAUGAAGAGAAAAACACUUAGAAGCUUCAAUGGAGCUGGGAAAGCAUUGCCUCUACACGAAAGUGAUCGUAUCUUCUUUCCGUCAGUACAUGAUGAGCACUGGUUCUUGUUCGUUGUUGACAUUAUAGCAAGAAAGUUUUGUCUUCCUAGAUUCAUAUUAUGA